rnacentral:rRNA from 1 species
UACGUAGGGUGCGAGCGUUAAUCGGAAUUACUGGGCGUAAAGCGUGCGCAGGCGGUUCGUUGUGUCGGCGGUGAAAGCCCCGGGCUUAACCUGGGAAUGGCCGUUGAAACUGGCGAACUGGAGUGUGGCAGUGGGGGGUGGAAUUCCGCGUGUAGCAGUGAAAUGCGUAGAGAUGCGGAGGAACACCGAUGGCGAAGGCAGCCCCCUGGGCUAACACUGACGCUCAGGCACGAAAGCGUGGGGAGCAAACAGG